rnacentral:rRNA from 1 species
UACGUAGGGACCAAGCGUUGUUCGGAUUUACUGGGCGUAAAGGGCGCGUAGGCGGCGUGUUAAGUCAGCUGUGAAAUCUCCAAGCUUAACUUGGAACGGUCAGCUGAUACUGAUGUGCUAGAGUGCAGAAAGGGCAAUCGGAAUUCUUGGUGUAGCGGUGAAAUGCGUAGAUAUCAAGAGGAACACCUGAGGCGAAGGCGGGUUGCUAGGCUGACACUGACGCUGAGAAGCGAAAGCAUGGGGAGCGAACAGG